CUGGGCCUCACACUACUCUCGAUACCGCGCAUGCGCCAAGUUGCUUGCGGGUGUAAGUAGCGGUUCGGGCUCCGCCUACUUAAAGGGACAGGAACUGUUGCAACCUCUGGGAUGAGCUGAGAGACUAACGGUGAAGUACUGAAACGGAGGGGAGAUGGUGGUCACAGAGGAAGCAGGUAGUUUCAGAGCCAGGGACAUUAAACAAUUAUCAUGGGCAGUUCCAUGUCUUCAGAUAAAGAAAUGUAUUUAAUAAUUCUGGAGACAAUAAUCAACUGGAGAGGAAAACAAGUUAGGAGGUCCCAGCUGACUCCGUUCCUGAAAACGUUUUCUAAAUUGUGACUCAGAAGAUCACAGUGCAGCUGAACGACACAUGUCUUCCCCAGAACAAAUUGGUCAAUGGAAAGGACCAGAUCCAGUGAUUAUGUGGGGCAGAGGUCAUGCUAGUAUUUCCCCAGAAGGUGCUUUUUGUCCUAUUUGGGUACCUGAAUGCGCCAUCAGACAUGGAGGACCUAGAACCAAGAUUCAAAAGGCUGAGGGUGGACCAGAGAUGCCAGACGUAACUUCCCUCAAAAAGAAGAACUCUUGAAGGAAGAGAAGAAGAAAGAUUCCAGAGAGACCGAAUGAGGAAGCGGCCCUCAUGGGAGGACCCGAGGAGACCCACACUGCGGGCUGCACCAGUGACUCUCGGCCAGGGAGAGCGAGGCCUGCAACCGCUUCAAAACAAGGAUUCGGGGACUCGAAACAGUGACACGUCACCUGCUUUUUCAAAGAAUGAAGGAGGGAUAUGUGGGGAGCCUUCCAUCCUGACGCAAGAGGCUUUGAUGGGUCACUGCAUUUCUUGGUGACCCGGUUCGGAAGUUAAGGGCGUGUCUUCAGAUGUGGCUGUGUCGCCCCUUGGGUUGAAUGACACUCACCUGUCCCUUGUAACCCACCUCUUCCGGCCCUUUUUUUGGACGGAACUUUCUAAGAAUAAGGGUCCCCCCAAUAAGAGCCCACUUCUGAACGUGCUCGCUCUCCCUCGCCAGCCUCUCUGGCUUUCUCUUGCUCCCCCAUGUGGGGAGCCUGAGGCCGAGAGCAGAGGGAGAAGCCAUCCUGAAGCUUGCUGAAAGGUAAAGUGUGUGUGUCUGUGUUUUA